rnacentral:sRNA from 1 species
AAGGAUAGAUGAAGGGUUGAGAGCCUGUGCCUCAUUUCUGAGUUCUGAGCUGCUAUGCCGUGGAAAUCCUGUUUACUUUCUUCAUCUGCUCCUGCAAGGCUCUGGAGCCAGUCUUGAGGUCCUACAUCUCCGAAAGCAAGCUCUUCUAGAAGUUGGUCUUGUAUGCUAAGCUACUCAGGAACUGUUGUCUAUGGGAUUGAACACUUAACAGCUGUCUCUGGGAAUGCAAAUUUGAUUCUUUGGACUGCUCAUGGGACUCUGUGACAUUUCCCUCUCCAGUGACAGCAGAUUUGAAUGGCAUUAGGCUACUGAUUAAAUAAUACCCAAAUAGCUUUCCAAUGAUUAGACGAAUUGAUUCUUUCUGUGACUCAUCAGUUCAUUUCCUGUAAAAUUCAUGUCUUGCUGUUGAUUUGUGAAUAAGAACCAGAGCUUGUAGAAACCACUUUAAUCAUAUCCAGGAGUUUGCAAGAAACAGGUGCUUAACACUAAUUCACCU